rfam:Jatropha curcas cultivar GZQX0401 scaffold332_52, whole genome shotgun sequence.
AGUCGCGCUGUGAGCACAUAGCGAACUAUUCUUUCGCCUUUUACUAAAGAAUACCGUGUGCUUGCUGCAAAUAGCGGCAUACGCAAAUUUUUGAACGGUUCCUUCUUUUUAGGGUGG